GAGAGAGAGAGAGAGAGAGAGAGAGAGAGUAGAGAGCAAGUGCGUGUUUUUUAAGAAGGAAAAAGAAAUAAGUAUGCUUAUGGGAGAGAGAGGAUCGUGUAAGGGAUUCCAACAUUGGGAGAAAGAGUGUUUGAGAGAGAGAAAAAUGUUUUCCCUAAUUGCCCUCAUACGAUUUCCAGGAUCUUAAAGCCACGUAACAAUUGCCAAAUUUUAGUACGCAACUAUCGGAAGUGUGCACGCGUCCCUCAAAAUAAAUAUCAAAUUUUUUUUAGUUUUUUUGUUUAGUGUCUCUAAAUAAUUAAAUUACUGUAAAUUUCUAGGAAAUUUCAGCUUUAGCAAUUUAAAUAUAUCAAAACUUUAUUUAUUGGUUUAGGUUUCCAUUUCUACUAACGCAUAUAAAAACCACUCACUAUGUCUAAGAAGAAAAACGGGUAGGGAUUUGUAUUUCUCAGUGAUCCCAAAAAUAAAUAAAAAAUAAGCUAAAAUUUUGGUGAGAUAGAGCGAUUCUUAAAGCGCCACUCCAAAUCUUGCAAAAAAUACAAUUCGGCACUAAAACACCUCAAAAUAAGUUUAAACUCAACAAUUGUUGAUAUCACGAAAAUUUUCAACCUCUAAAAGUAUUAUGUUUUAUAGCUCUAAAGUUCUGAGCAAUAUAAUUUUUGGAACUUCAAAUUUUAUUUAAAAAUUCAUAAAUAAAAUAAUUUUUUAUCAAAUUACUUAUAAAAAAUUAAAUGUUUUGCCCUUUAAUUGUACCUCUUAAUUUAAUUUCAAACUGCCCAUCAAAAAACACAAAGCGCAUAACCUUGAUUUCAAAUAGUUGCAUAUGGGCAAAAUGUUAAAUCACUCAUUUCUUAUAAAUCAUUGUCGACAAGGCCUUUUGGGAUCAACUGCACGAAUCUUAAUCCGCUAUUCUGUUCUAUAAAGAGUCAUAGUUUAUAUGAAGUCAUAAGUUUCCAUAUAUUUUUUCACUACAUCUAAUCACGUCUUUUGUUGUCUAUUUUUUUAUUUAUUUUUAACAUUUCACUUGAACUAACUCGUACCUCCUAACAAAUGUUAUCUUGGGUCUGCGUCACAAAUUGCUAGCCCAUUAAAUCUACUAUUUCUCAUUGUAUUACCUAUUGGUGUUACAUUUAAAAUUUCAUUAAUGUAUUCAUUUCAAAUUUU
rnacentral:lncRNA from 1 species